UACGUAGGGUGCAAGCGUUGUCCGGAAUUAUUGGGCGUAAAGAGCUCGUAGGCGGUUCGUCGCGUCGGCUGUGAAAACCCGGAGCUCAACUCCGGGCCUGCAGUCGAUACGGGCGGACUUGAGUGUUGCAGGGGAGACUGGAAUUCCUGGUGUAGCGGUGAAAUGCGCAGAUAUCAGGAGGAACACCAAUGGCGAAGGCAGCUCGCUGGGACGGUACUGACGCUGAGACGCGAAAGCGUGGGGGAGCAAACAGG
rnacentral:rRNA from 1 species